rnacentral:rRNA from 10 species
UCAAGUGAAGAAGCGCAUACGGUGGAUGCCUUGGCAGUCAGAGGCGAUGAAAGACGUGGUAGCCUGCGAAAAGCUUCGGGGAGUCGGCAAACAGACUGUGAUCCGGAGAUGUCUGAAUGGGGGAACCCAGCCAUCACAAGAUGGUUAUCUUACACUGAAUACAUAGGUGUAAGAGGCGAACCAGGGGAACUGAAACAUCUAAGUACCCUGAGGAAAAGAAAUCAACCGAGAUUCCCUUAGUAGUGGCGAGCGAACGGGGACCAGCCCUUAAGUUGUAUUGAGAUUAGCGGAACGCUCUGGAAAGUGCGGCCAUAGUGGGUGAUAGCCCUGUACGCGAAAAUCCCUUUGCAAUGAAAUCGAGUAGGACGGGGCACGAGAAACCUUGUCUGAAUAUGGGGGGACCAUCCUCCAAGGCUAAAUACUACUGACUGACCGAUAGUGAACCAGUACCGUGAGGGAAAGGCGAAAAGAACCGCGGAGAGCGGAGUGAAAUAGAUCCUGAAACCGUAUGCGUACAAGCAGUGGGAGCCCACUUUGUUGGGUGACUGCGUACCUUUUGUAUAAUGGGUCAGCGACUUAUUUUCAGUGGCGAGCUUAACCGAAUAGGGGAGGCGUAGCGAAAGCGAGUCUUAAUAGGGCGUCUAGUCGCUGGGAAUAGACCCGAAACCGGGCGAUCUAUCCAUGGGCAGGUUGAAGGUUGGGUAACACUAACUGGAGGACCGAACCGACUACCGUUGAAAAGUUAGCGGAUGACCUGUGGAUCGGAGUGAAAGGCUAAUCAAGCUCGGAGAUAGCUGGUUCUCCUCGAAAGCUAUUUAGGUAGCGCCUCAUGUAUCACUGUAGGGGGUAGAGCACUGUUUCGGCUAGGGGGUCAUCCCGACUUACCAAACCGAUGCAAACUCCGAAUACCUACAAGUGCCGAGCAUGGGAGACACACGGCGGGUGCUAACGUCCGUCGUGAAAAGGGAAACAACCCAGACCGUCAGCUAAGGUCCCAAAGUCAUGGUUAAGUGGGAAACGAUGUGGGAAGGCUUAGACAGCUAGGAGGUUGGCUUAGAAGCAGCCACCCUUUAAAGAAAGCGUAAUAGCUCACUAGUCGAGUCGGCCUGCGCGGAAGAUGUAACGGGGCUCAAACCAUGCACCGAAGCUACGGGUAUCACCUUUGGUGAUGCGGUAGAGGAGCGUUCUGUAAGCCUGUGAAGGUGAGUUGAGAAGCUUGCUGGAGGUAUCAGAAGUGCGAAUGCUGACAUGAGUAACGACAAUGGGUGUGAAAAACACCCACGCCGAAAGACCAAGGUUUCCUGCGCAACGUUAAUCGACGCAGGGUUAGUCGGUCCCUAAGGCGAGGCUGAAAAGCGUAGUCGAUGGAAAACAGGUUAAUAUUCCUGUACUUCUGGUUAUUGCGAUGGAGGGACGGAGAAGGCUAGGCCAGCCUGGCGUUGGUAGUCCAGGUUUAAGGUGGUAGGCUGAGAUCUUAGGUAAAUCCGGGAUCUUAAGGCCGAGAGCUGAUGACGAGUGUUCUUUUAGAACAUGAAGUGGUUGAUGCCAUGCUUCCAAGAAAAGCUUCUAAGCUUCAGGUAACCAGGAACCGUACCCCAAACCGACACAGGUGGUUGGGUAGAGAAUACCAAGGCGCUUGAGAGAACUCGGGUGAAGGAACUAGGCAAAAUGGCACCGUAACUUCGGGAGAAGGUGCGCCGGUGAGGGUGAAGCAUUUACUGCGUAAGCCCACGCCGGUCGAAGAUACCAGGCCGCUGCGACUGUUUAUUAAAAACACAGCACUCUGCAAACACGAAAGUGGACGUAUAGGGUGUGACGCCUGCCCGGUGCCGGAAGGUUAAUUGAUGGGGUUAGCGCAAGCGAAGCUCUUGAUCGAAGCCCCGGUAAACGGCGGCCGUAACUAUAACGGUCCUAAGGUAGCGAAAUUCCUUGUCGGGUAAGUUCCGACCUGCACGAAUGGCGUAACGAUGGCGGCGCUGUCUCCACCCGAGACUCAGUGAAAUUGAAAUCGCUGUGAAGAUGCAGUGUAUCCGCGGCUAGACGGAAAGACCCCGUGAACCUUUACUAUAGCUUUGCACUGGACUUUGAAUUUGCUUGUGUAGGAUAGGUGGGAGGCUUUGAAGCGUGGACGCCAGUCUGCGUGGAGCCAACCUUGAAAUACCACCCUGGCAACUUUGAGGUUCUAACUCAGGUCCGUUAUCCGGAUCGAGGACAGUGUAUGGUGGGUAGUUUGACUGGGGCGGUCUCCUCCUAAAGAGUAACGGAGGAGUACGAAGGUGCGCUCAGACCGGUCGGAAAUCGGUCGUAGAGUAUAAAGGCAAAAGCGCGCUUGACUGCGAGACAGACACGUCGAGCAGGUACGAAAGUAGGUCUUAGUGAUCCGGUGGUUCUGUAUGGAAGGGCCAUCGCUCAACGGAUAAAAGGUACUCCGGGGAUAACAGGCUGAUACCGCCCAAGAGUUCAUAUCGACGGCGGUGUUUGGCACCUCGAUGUCGGCUCAUCACAUCCUGGGGCUGAAGCCGGUCCCAAGGGUAUGGCUGUUCGCCAUUUAAAGUGGUACGCGAGCUGGGUUUAGAACGUCGUGAGACAGUUCGGUCCCUAUCUGCCGUGGACGUUUGAGAUUUGAGAGGGGCUGCUCCUAGUACGAGAGGACCGGAGUGGACGAACCUCUGGUGUUCCGGUUGUCACGCCAGUGGCAUUGCCGGGUAGCUAUGUUCGGAAAAGAUAACCGCUGAAAGCAUCUAAGCGGGAAACUUGCCUCAAGAUGAGAUCUCACUGGAACCUAGAGUUCCCUGAAGGGCCGUCGAAGACUACGACGUUGAUAGGUUGGGUGUGUAAGCGCUGUGAGGCGUUGAGCUAACCAAUACUAAUUGCCCGUGAGGCUUGACCAU